CCCUGAAACACURUUAUUAAGCACUGGGAGGUGAAGAUAUCCAAUAUAAUAGCAGGCAGCACUGAAGUCCUUCRGGAGGUUUCAGUCUGCAGGAGACCUUGCAUGGCUACAAUCACCUGCAGCAAAAGCUUUUACUCACAACAGAUGUAAUCACUGUAACAACAGACUGAGGGCAAAAGAAAUUAAAGCAGUUGGGUGAAUUAGCUCAGCAAGUGACGGUUCACAGGAGAGUCUUUAUCUACUCCUUCCACAGACUGUGUGCAUAAUUGCAGAUUGUUUGCAGCUCUGUCAACCAUUACUGCAGAGUCUGACUUAAAAUGCAGAGGGAGCAAUGUGUCUAUAUAUUAAAGCUGAUCAGGAACCUCCCCUGAUUGCCAGGGCCUGUCCAAGCUGUUGGAGAGCAGCCUGAGAGUGCCAGCUCCUUCAGUACACUCACAUAUGUAUUGUGGUCCCGUGACCUUAUGUAUAUAAGGUGACCUUAAAAUCUGGCUUCUUCUAUUCUGAAUACUGGUUCACACUGAGAGAAAAGAUUGCCAGCACUUGAAAUACUGGAAGAAAAUAACUGAGUCCUCUCAGAAGUUAUGCAGCAUUUCAUAAUGAAUAUAUUUCCAUUCAGCUUGAGCAGUCUUACUUGAAAAUGUGGUUUUGUAUAUGAACUAUUAUUCAUGAAAACUAGAUUUCUUUUCCUGCAUUGUCCGUGUCCCCUGUACUGUAAACAAUUGUUAGCUUCAUGCUGGUUCUUAAACUAUAAAUUUUAAUAUAAUAUCAAAGAUGCUAAGAGGAAAAACUCAGUUUUAGUAGCAGUAUCUGUGAACUGGAAGGACUGGGACAAAAGCAGGCAUUAUUCAACUGUUAACAUUUACAUCUCUUAAUUCUGGAGAGCAAGUACUGUUGAAUUUCUCUAUGCCUUUCUAGUGAGUAGUUUGUAUAGCUGGAGUGUGCAAGCUCUUAAAAAUAAAUGUUUCUUAUUGUC